rnacentral:miRNA from 1 species
AGAAAUUAACAUGUCUUAAGGGUG